rnacentral:tRNA from 1 species
GCGGCAUGGCGCGGCACGUCACCGCGCGACUUGUAAUCGGGCGGUUAGGGGUUCAAGUCCCCUCGCCGGCUCCA